CAAAGGUGCCCCCCAGCGGAAACUCCUGAGGAGUCGUGUCGGGUCGUUCCUGCGCUUGGUGUUGGGAGCAGGGAAGUGCAUCCGGAUCGUGGCUUCGCCCAUUGUCUGGGUUACGGGGCUGGCCCGGAGGACGCCGCGGGCUCCCUUGCGCGGUGCAGUCUGAAGGGGAGCGGAGCUCCCUGCCGGGCUCAGGCGACUUUCCUAUGUGCCCGGGAGCGGCUGCUCGGCUCCAGUGAUGGAUCGUAGUUCGAAGAGGAGGCAGGUGAAGCCUUUGGCAGCUUCCCUGCUGGAGGCUUUAGAUUAUGACAGUUCUGAUGACAGUGACUUUAAGGUUGGAGAUGCUUCAGCAGUUCCAGUGGACAGGAAGGGUUGUGGGGACAAGAAGGCAGCAGUCUCCACAUCAGCUCAGAUGUUCUGGUAGCUGCUGCUGGAUGUUUAACCAGCAGAUCCAGUCUGUAUGGCUCCCUGUGGGAAAAGAUUCUGAAGGCAGUGGACAUGGCAGUGAAGAUGGCUCAAAGGAUAGCGGAGAAGGAUCCUGUAGUGAAUCAGAGGAAAAUAUCUUGGAGGAAGAGCUGGCAGGAGAAGAAAAAAUAGAGGAAGAACAGCCUAAAAGCUCAGGUGGAGAAGAGCUGCCAAUAAUGGAGAAAGAAGAGAUUAAAACUGGAAAAAAGGAUGAUGAGGAUGAAGAUGGAGAUGGAGAAGAGAAGCCAAGAAAGAAAAGGGAGAAAGAAAAAGAAAGAGAGAAACCUUCUGAAGCAGAUGCCAGCAUUGAUGAGCAGACAAAUGAACCCAAAAAGUGGAAUUUGCGAAGAAACCGCCCUCUACUAGAUUUUGUAUCCAUGGAAGAGCUCAAUGACAUAGAUGAUUAUGACAGCGAGGAUGACAAUGACUGGCGCCCAACUGCUGGGAAGAAGAAGGGGAAAAAUACAUUGCAGAGAGAGGGUAGUGAUGGAGAUAAUGAGGAUGAUGAAGAUGAUGGGAGUGGAAGUGAUGAGGAUGACAACGAAGAGGAAGGCAAUGAGGAUGAUGAUAACAGCAGUGCUGCUAGUGAUGGUGGAUCCAAGAAGAAAAAAGCGAAAUCGCUAAGCAGGAAUAGUGCUGAUGAUGAGGAGCUGACAAAUGAUAGCCUGGCCCUUUCUCAGAGCAAGAGCAAUGAGGACUCGCUGAUUCUUGAGAAGUCUCAAAAUUGGAGCUCCCAGAAAAUGGAUCAUAUUAUGAUUUGCUGUGUUUGUCUUGGGGAUAAUAGUGAAGACGCUGAUGAAAUAAUCCAGUGUGACAACUGCGGAAUAACAGUACAUGAAGGUUGUUAUGGUGUUGAUGGAGAAAGUGAUUCUAUUAUGAGCUCCGCUUCGGAAAAUUCCACUGAACCGUGGUUCUGUGAUGCCUGCAAAUGUGGUGUCUCUCCAAGCUGUGAACUGUGCCCCAACCAAGAUGGAAUCUUCAAAGAGACCGAUGCUGGCAGAUGGGUCCACAUUGUUUGUGCACUCUAUGUUCCAGGAGUAGCAUUUGGAGACAUUGACAAACUGAGACCAGUAACACUGACAGAAAUGAACUAUUCCAAGUAUGGUGCUAAGGAAUGCAGUUUCUGUGAAGAUCCUCGUUUUGCGAGGACGGGUGUUUGCAUUAGCUGUGAUGCUGGAAUGUGUCGAGCUUAUUUCCAUGUGACCUGUGCUCAGAAGGAAGGCCUGUUGUCAGAAGCAGCAGCAGAGGAGGAUAUUGCAGAUCCUUUUUUUGCUUAUUGUAAGCAACAUGCAGACAGGAUGGAUAGAAAAUGGAAACGGAAGAACUACUUGGCUUUACAGUCUUAUUGCAAAAUGUCUUUGCAAGAGAGAGAGAAGCAGCUCUCUCCCGAAGCUCAGGCCCGAAUUAAUGCCAGACUGCAGCAGUAUCGUGCCAAGGCAGAAAUCGCACGUACCACCAGGCCUCAGGCUUGGGUACCAAGGGAGAAACUGCCACGACCACUUACUAGCAGUGCUUCAGCAAUACGUAAGCUGAUGCGCAAAGCUGAACUAAUGGGAAUUAGUACAGAUAUCUUCCCAGUGGAUACUUCAGAUACCAGUUCCAGUGUGGACGGAAGAAGAAAACACAAGCAACCAGCGCUGACUGCUGAUUUUGUAAAUUAUUAUCUUGAAAGGAACACGCGCAUGAUCCAAAUCCAAGAGAAUAUGGCAGAACAGAAGAAAAUUAAGGAUAAGCUGGAGAAUGAACAAGAAAAGCUUCAUGUAGAAUAUAACAAGUUGUGUGAGUCUUUAGAAGAGCUUCAGAAUAUGAAUGCAAAACUACGAAAUGAAGGCCAAGGAAUAUGGGCGGUCCUGGGUAGAAUAAUGGGGCAGAAAUUGAAUAUACCAGCAAUUUUGCGAGCACCCAAGGAAAGAAAGCCAAGUAAAAAAGAAGGUGGGACUCAGAAGGCAACAACACUUCCUGCUGUACUUUAUAGUUGUGGGAUUUGCAAGAAGAACCAUGAUCAACAUCUCCUUUUGCUGUGUGAUACUUGUAAACUCCAUUACCAUCUUGGAUGUCUGGAUCCUCCACUUUCAAGGAUGCCAAGGAAGACUAAAAACAGUUACUGGCAGUGUUCCGAGUGCGACCAAGCAGGUAGCAGUGACAUGGAAACAGACAUUGCCAUGGAAACUUUACCAGAUGGAACUAAGCGAUCAAGGAGACAAAUUAAGGAGCCGGUGAAAUUUGUUCCCCAAGAUGUACCACCAGAACCAAAGAAGAUGCCUGUCAGAAGCACGAGAACCAGAGGACGAAAACGAAGCUAUGUCCCUGAAGAAGAAAAACCUGAGGAACGUAUUCCUAGAGAAAGAAGACAAAGGCAGUCAGUAGUACAAAAGAAGCCAAAAUCGGAGGAUUUAAGAACAGAAUGUGCCACGUGUAAGGGAACUGGAGACAAUGAAAAUCUAGUCCGCAAAAUCUAAUUAGAAAAAACAGCUGGAAGUACUACUCAAUCAAAUGUCUGCUGAAAUAAAAUCUAUAGCCUUUACAGAAAACAACCAGAGAGGUGCGCCUCCUUAUGUCUAAAGGUGGAUAUAAAGUAGAAGAAAUUAUGCAAGUAGGAAUGAAAGGAGGAAUCCAGGAGAGGUGAUGAUACUCUUCAUGAGACACUGCUCUGCCACAACUCAUCCUCGGAGGCAGUCCUGGAAACUUCUUUUAUAAAUGUGAUUUUGGGCUGUGGAUAAGACUUUCAAUAGGACACAGACUAAAGAAAAGCAGUAUAUUAUCCCUACCAUAUUCCUAGUCAAAGAGUUGGGUUUGCUUGCCAGGUCUUGUAGUAUGUAACCAAUUGGUAUGUUACUUGGACUGACAAGGCAGUUAAUUUACUUGAUAUUUUUUCUUUGCACUAAUCAGGCACAUUUGAUAUGUGCAUUGCUGGAAAAUACUGGAUAAAUGUCUUGUCAAAAUUGUUCUAUUAAGUAAUUUUGUCUCCCGUUGCGAUUCCUUGGCAAAUGAUGAUGUACAGUACUUGGACUCACUGAAGAGUGACAGGAGCCUAUGGGACUUAAAUACUUUAUGUGAUGUUAUUGAAUGGAGAGAGAAAAAGGAAUGCUUUGUCAUUUGUGGCUGCUCUGCUUUCUGUGCCUCUUAAAAAGCAAAUUAUUAUAUAAAACAAUAUGUGGAGCUAAAUGUAAAAGGAUGGUUUUCUGUAAAAUGUUGAGUACCGUGGCAAUGAGAUCUGUAAAACAUUUGACAUGUUCUCAUUAUGAAAUAACAGUAUUGCUACAGAAGAAUUGAUCUUGUGCUUAUUAGUCUGAGCUAAUUGAUUUCAUCUCAAAAGUUCAUUGAAAACAAAGAGAAACCCCUAUUCAUAUUUUUCCUCUGAAUCGCUGUUGUGGCAGAUGACAGUCUCACAAAACCUUCUGAGAUUGUCUCACUAGAUUUUUGUUUCUGGCUGUUGGUGGUGCUCAGCCCUGGCCCAUGUCUGCCUGAGGUGGUAUGACCAGAUGCAGCUUUCUGUCCUGUGGUGUGCAAAGUGUGCCACGUGCCACCUCCUAACUGACCCUGAUCUCUUCCCAACUUCAGUCCCCGCUCCCACCAAGCCUGACCUCCAUACCACCAUGUUUCUUCAGUUGGCAGUGGCAGCCAUUACUGCUCUUUGCCUCCUCCCUCCUCUACCCCACACUUCUUUUUGUUUCAUUCUCUUCCCCCUGCUUGGUAGGGGGUGGACAAACAACUGCAAGCUGAGGAAAAGAGGCAUGACAGAGCAUUGCUACUGCUACUGCUGCUGCCAGAUCGGAACAGCCACCCACUUCCCUGCUAAUGGUGGUGUUAUCUAUUUGGCUGGCAUCCAGAAGAAGCAGGCCAAUAGAGAAAGCUAAUCAGCCAUCUCUGCCAAUCCGCCACUUGAGGUGACUGCCUCAUUUCACCUCAUUAACCAGUUGACCAUAAUGACAUUUCCUUCCAAGUAACACUUCCUGUUUCACUUGGUGGGAAGUGCCCAAUUGUGCUGCAACCUAAAUUUGUGUAUUUUUCAAACAAUUAAUUCAACCGCAGAUUAAAUAAUUAUUUAAUUUUGCCUUUGUCUUGAAAAAGCUGUUUAAGUUCAUUUGUAUCUGUGACACUGCAGUGUAUGUGUUGGGAUCCAACAAAGGUAUAUACAUUUUGGGAAGAACCGUAAGUGGGAUUUUUUUUUUUAAGUAAUCUCUGCGUCUGCUUAAUUAUUAUUUAUUUUUCUGUGUAAACCACUUUGAGACCUUGAGAGUGGUAUAUGAAUAUUUGCGGAUAGUAGUAGUAGUAGUAGUAGUUUUCAUUGCUGAAGAGGCAAGCUGCAUUUUAAAGUGAAUCUUGGUAUGACUUGUCAUUAGUGCAAUAAAUUGUCAAGAAUCCUCCUGCAAGGUGGUGGUGUUCUGUGCACUUUUUGCUUUGUUGGAUCACAGCCAUGGUAUCGGAAACUCUUGCUAUAUGCUAGUAAGGUGGCAUCUUGGAGGAAAAUAUAUCUAUCUCCUGUUAAAAUAUGUUUUAUAACCAAAGCUGAAGAAAUGCAAACUAGAAUAAAUGAGAGCUGUAUUAAAAAACACCAGGAAGUGAUCAAUUAGUGUAUGCUAAUGGAUGUGGCUGUAGGCUGUAUUAUAUUUGGAUAUGUUCAAUAAAAUAACUUUUAUCUCAUCA